UACGGAAGGGGCGAGCGUUGUUCGGAAUCAUUGGGCGUAAAGGGCGCGUAGGUGGUUUUGUAUGUCUGCCGUGAAAGGGUACAGCUUAACUGUAGCUUGUCGAUAGAAACUGCAGGACUUGAGGCUGGGAGGGGCUGGUGGAAUUCCCUGUGUAGCGGUGAAAUGCGUAGAGAUGGGGGAGAACACUCGUGGCGAAGGCGGCCAGCUAGACCAGUUCUGACACUGAGGCGCGACAGCGUGGGGAGCAAACAGG
rnacentral:rRNA from 1 species